UACGGGGGGGGCAAGCGUUGUUCGGAAUUACUGGGCGUAAAGGGCUCGUAGGUGGCCAACUAAGUCGGACGUGAAAUCCCUCAGCUUAACUGGGGAACUGCGUCCGAUACUGGAUGGCUUGAAUCCGGGAGAGGGAUGCGGAAUUCCAGGUGUAGCGGUGAAAUGCGUAGAUAUCUGGAGGAACACCGGUGGCGAAGGCGGCAUCCUGGACCGGUAUUGACGCUGAGGCGCGAAAGCCAGGGGAGCAAACGGG
rnacentral:rRNA from 1 species